GGAGGCAGAGGCAGGUGGAUUUCUGAGUUCGAGGCCAGCCUGGUUUACAAAGUGAGUUCCAGGAUAGCCCGGGCCAUACAGAGAAACCCUGUCUCGAAAAACCAAAAAAAAAAAAAAAAAAAAAAAAAAAAAAAAAAAAAAAAGUCUAGCCUUGAUAACAUUUUUUAAAGGAAUACACACACAUGUAUAUGUAUGUGUGUAUAUUGUUUUGUGUAUAUGCGUAUAUAGAUAUAUACAAUGAUACUUGUAAAAACUGAGUUGAUAGGAUUGAUAGAAAUUGAUGGUUUUGAGGGUCUGGAGAGAUGGCUCAGCAGUUAAGAGUACUGACUGCUCUUCUGGAGGUCCUAAGUUCAAAUCCCAGCAAUGACGUGGUGGCUCACAACCAUCUGUAAUGAGAUUGGAUGCCCUUAAUAAAUAAAUCUUUAAAAAAAGGAAAUUGAUUGUUUUAUUGCCUUUAAAAUUAUAACUAAUUCUUUUGUUGGGGACUGACAAUUUUAUCUUCUGAAUUUUGAAACUUUAAAAGUAAGAAGUAAAUCUCAAGAGCUAACUAAACAGUUCUGUUUUUGUAUAUUAAUUACAUCCUUCAAAGAUUUACUGUAUUUUCUAAGUUGCCUAUUUAAGUGAUUCUGAACACUAAUUAGUGUUUUUCGUUUCUUUUGUAUAACUGUGGCCAGAUACUUGAGAGAACCACUUACAAGGGAAAAAGAUGUGUUUUAGUUUAUAGUUUUAUAAUCUUGAAUCCUGGCUGUUGAUUCUGGGCCUGUCACAAUGGAAUACUGUUCAGCAGCUAAAUAAAGGACAAGAUUAUGGUAGCAAGAGACUACUUAACUCAGAGAGAAAAGCAGAAGGGACAGGGACUAGGCAGUCACCAAGGAUCUACCCCCAGUAACUACUUUGUGCACGUACGUCUUACCUGUUAAGUUUCCACAACCUCCCAACAUAUUACCUCAAAGUAGAAACUAAAUAUUUAACACAUGAACUGAAAGGAGUAUUUCAUGUCCAAAUUAUAAAAGUCAUCUGUGUAAUACAAUGUUUACUUUUAAGUCCUCUCAGCAUCAGUAUAAAUUAGCCAGAGUUAAAAAGCCUAAGUUUUAAGCCAAAACUUAUUUAAGUAAAUAAGAUUAAAUGACUGGUAAUAGCAGGAUUGGCACUAUUUCUGCUGGUGUAUAUUUUAGAAAAUGCAAGUCUUUCCUAGAACUACACUUUAUGACCCAGGUUUAUAUUAAUGUCUGUCUCAGAGGAUAGCAGAUUAGCAAACAGCCUUGGGUGUCAGUUCUUACAAAAUUCCUACCUUUUGUUUGAGAUAGCAUUAGGUGGUAAUUUAUGUGGCCUGGAAUGCAGAAAAUGUCAGCUAUCUCUUGCUUUUAUCCAGUGCUUAGCAAUUGAUGAUACUUAUACAUUCUUUCCAGAGUGUCUAACUUUCAUUCUGAAUGUGUCCAUACCAUAUGUAAUUUUCAAAAUAUACUCAUAAACAUGUUUUAAAAACAAUUAAAUAAACCAAAUAUGUCUUGGCCAAAAUUGAACAACCUCUGAAUUUACAAGCACUAUCCAGGACAGUGAUUUCUAAUCAGAAGUACAAUAGGGGAAAAAAAUCCUGAAGCUUUUCAACAGUACACAUUUAAUUAAGUAUUCUAACACAUAGAAAUGUGGACUUAGCAGUUUUUGCAGAAUCUCUCAUAUACACAUAACUGAACACUGAUACCUUCAUGGCCAGGUAUAACCAUGUAGAUAUUCCUUAAUAACUGUGCUUCAGUUGGUUCUGCCAUGUAUUUUGGCCAGAUCAAGAUACAAGAAGUUUCUCUGACUCGAUUGCCAUCUGAUUUCAGCCUCACACAAUUUUUUUUUUCCCAAGCCCCGGGUUUUGAGGUUAAAUUCCUUUUAUGUAAACAAACAACUGUUUGCAAGGCC
rnacentral:lncRNA from 1 species